UUCCUGUAAAAUUCAUUCAAGCAAUAGAUCACAAGUAAGAUUUGAUGCAUGAACCAGUUUAUAUUUGGAAGUUGUAACUCAGAUCAAUGAAGGAAACGCAUAAUGUAAAGCUUUUGAACUGGUUAUUAUCCUGGAAGUUACUCCCUCAGUUCAAUGAGGUUGAGAUUCCAUUGAGUCACAUCUGUGAAUAUUCUAACACGAUAAAAAUUCUUAUCAGUCUCUAGAACACCUACUCUAAAGAAUCCUUUAAUUAGAGCAGGAUGGAUAUGUGCAUGCAAAAACAAUGUUGUAAAGCACAUGCAGCCAGGUGGUAUUCAGGAAGCUAACUCAAAAGUACAUCAAGAAGCACAGACAAGUCAUAAUCUGGAGGAAAUGAGCACAGGACCAGUUUCUAUCCGGCGGAUGCCUGCUGGCAUGCAUUGCAGGAUAUGCAGUUGCAGGGUUAAGAGUUGAUUACAAUCCCAGUGAGUAUAGAAGUCUUGGACUUGUCAUUAAUUGAUAAACCAACUCAAGUUAACAUGCAAGAUUAGUGAUUAUAUUCUCUCGCAGAAAAAAAAACUAUAGCCAUGAAAUGAUAUCAGUUACCAGAAUAGGUACAUAAUUUUUUUUAUUCUUCCAACUAUGAAAAACCAUCUAUUUUAUAUUAAAAAUAAGUACCUUCUAAGUUUCUGAACUUGGAUUCUUGGAAAAGUUCGAUUGGAAGUGCCUCUUAACAUUUAGAUAAAAAGAUAGCUGAGACCACAAGUGUUGACCAAAAACCUAAGGUUCUUAUAGAGUUUUUAUUUGAGCAGGCUAAAGAUGCUAUGAUCUUGUGAAGGGAUUGAGUGGGCCGAAAUACAUCCAAGCUUUAAAAAAUUACAAUGUAUCAAAUGAAAAAAAGCAUGAAUGAAAAAAUAUCUCUUGAUUUAAAGAAAUGAAAAUUCACAUCAUAAUUACCCAUUUAAAGCUACGAGAAGCAUCAUGAAAAGGUCAAACUAAGGAAGCAACUUGUAACUUGAACAUAGUAGUCCAAACCUUAAAGCCAACAGGUCGCUGUAUUUUACCUAACACCAGAAAACCACCUUCUUGACAUCUUAAAAUGAAAUGAUGCUGUAUUCACUGCUCAUAAUCCAUAAAUGACGGGGAACUGGAAAUCCUUGCAGGGUGUUUGUCGUGAACUAGUUAUAUUUGAGGCUUGCUCUUUAAUUGGCAUAUAAGGAAGCAUGCCAUGAGAACAUAAAAGGGGGGCAUAAUCCUACAAGAGACAAUGUUUUCAGCAACUUUCAAGCGUGUCCCUUUUCCUUCUUGGUUUCCAGGUAUCAUUUCGUUUUUCAGAAUUAGAAGUGCUAUCAACCAGUUAGAAUUGAGGCCUACUUGAUUCAAGUUGAGUUACAUGUUUCAGUUUUUAACUGGGAGUUUUGGAUGGGUUUUGAGGCCUCUAAUGAGCUUUACCAUGAAGAGUGCUAUCCAAUUUUCAGGGCAACCAUCAAGUUUUAAGGGCAUUAAAUUUGUAAUUCAAACAAGGGUUGAAGAUGUGACAAUACAACCUAUGACAAUGGCAUACAGAAAAUGAGAGGGUCAAAACAGUAUUAACCAACAAAGAUCAUGCCUAGCUUGAGCCAUGUCCAAUAGCACUACUGUGCAUAAAGAACGGAAGACAUUCAACACACCCACAAUGCACUUGAAGAUAUGAAGACGGUGACAUGGCUUCAGAAAAUGGAACAAUACAAGGUGCAAAAGUACAUACAUGAACAUGAAUAAGUCAACUCCAUCCCUCAAAACAUCAAGGGUUCAGUUAGAUAAUAUUUGAACCCAUCUGAGGCUUCCAUGGAAGCUAUAAAAAAACAGAUCUUAGCAACCAACACAUCUCUCCCCAACAAAAAGGGAACACAAGCUGUCAGAACUCCUAUAACUUAUCAAUAGGACAGCAUCUAAGAUGAUGAACCAAGUCACCAUCACAGCAGUGCUCAUCAGAAUCUGCCUCACUUUAUAUCCACAAUCUGAACACUUAGAAGAACGGUUGUUCACACAAAGCAUGAGACCUUCAAAAAUCACAUUUUUAAGCCUUGAAACUAUCUUGUCAAACAGCCCCUUACUUUUAAAGCUCCCAAAACAAAAUCAGGCAGGUUCACCUCGAAAUUUAGCAUCUGAAAGUGGCUCAUAAUACAACUCCACUGCCCUUUACUCUGCAGAUAAUCUAGAAAGGGACCUCAAACACUACUUCUUAAUCCUCAAGAGUGAACUUCAGGCCCCCCUUGUGCCCAUUCCUCCUACCCCAAUAAGAAAAGAAAGGGAAAAAAAAGAGGAAGAAGAAAAAGAAUCACCAAAGGCAGUCGCUGCACUGUCACUGCAUAUCAAUCAUACAAUCAAGCCUUCAAGGGGACAGGGACACUAAAUAUAGCACAAGUCCCAAAUUCGUUCUUGACAGCCCUAUUGAAAUAAUUGUGGGAAACACCUUAGCAUCUUCAUUUGGUUGUUCAGUAUUGUAAGUGCACCAGUCAUGUUACAAGGAAUAUACUACCACAGAUACUGAUCUAGAGGACAUGAAUUUAUGAGAAACAUCCUGUAUGCCACUAGUGCUUCAGUAUUUAUAGGUUGGAAAAUAAUUUCACAUCUACCAAAUUUAAAUGCAACUCAACGUAUAUGUCAUCUGAAAUUGGCUACUUGUUGGCCAAGAAAAUGUCUGAUAGCUACGAACAAAAACAUGGUGAUAUUAUAAGGGUUCAACCACACAUCAUCAAGCCAACUGAGCACCUAGUAACAUAGGCACUACAAAAAAAAAAAAAAAGAUAA